rnacentral:lncRNA from 1 species
UUAGUCUCAGAGACCAGGAUGGGUCCGAGUGUGUCUUCAGAGGAGACAGGAGAGGUACACCCAGAGGUAUGAUUUCAGCCCUUCAGGCUCGUUGUUUGCUUAGGAGGGGUUGUCAGGGGUUUCUAGCUCAUGUGAGAGAGCUAGACAGUCAGGUGAGGGAACCAGCCGCAGUACCAGUAGUCCGAGAGUUUCUCGAUGUGUUCCCAGACUAUUUAC